GACGAACCGAGCGAACGUUAUUCGGAAUCACUGGGCGUAAAGGGCGCGCAGGCGGCUCAUUUUGUCAGGCGUGAAAGCCCCGGGCUUAACCUGGGAACUGCGUUUGAUACGGAUGGGCUAGAGUUCGGGAGAGGAGAGUGGAAUUCCCAGUGUAGAGGUGAAAUUCGUAGAUAUUGGGAAGAACACCGGUGGCGAAGGCGGCUCUCUGGACCGAUACUGACGCUGAGGCGCGAAAGCGUGGGGAGCAAACAGG
rnacentral:rRNA from 1 species